CAGCAGCCGCGGGAAUACGAAGGGGGCUAGCGUUGCUCGGAAUGACUGGGCGUAAAGGGCGCGUAGGCGGUUUUGACAGUCAGAUGUGAAAUUCCUGGGCUUAACCUGGGGGCUGCAUUUGAGACGUCAAGACUAGAGUGUGAGAGAGGGUUGUGGAAUUCCCAGUGUAGAGGUGAAAUUCGUAGAUAUUCGGAAGAACACCAGUGGCGAAGGCGGCCCGCUGGACAUGUAUUGACGCUGAGGUGCGAAAGCGUGGGGAGCAAACAGGAUUAGAUACCCCCGUAGUCCCUGUCUCUUAUAC
rnacentral:rRNA from 1 species